rnacentral:rRNA from 1 species
UACGAAGGGGGCUAGCGUUGCUCGAAAUCACUGGGCGUAAAGCGCACGUAGGCGGAUUGCUAAGUCAGGGGUGAAAUCCUGGAGCUCAACUCCAGAACUGCCCUUGAUACUGGCGGUCUCGAGUCCGGGAGAGGUGAGUGGAACUGCGAGUGUAGAGGUGAAAUUCGUAGAUAUUCGCAAGAACACCAGUGGCGAAGGCGGCUCACUGGCCCGGUACUGACGCUGAGGUGCGAAAGCGUGGGGAGCAAACAGG